GGUGCAGUAGCUAAGUGGUAGAGCUCCCGCUUCGUACGCGGGAAGGCCUGGGUUCGAUUCCUGGCUGUUUUC
rnacentral:tRNA from 1 species